rnacentral:rRNA from 1 species
AUUGAACGCUGGCGGCAGGCUUAACACAUGCAAGUCGAGCGGGGAAAUGUAGCUUGCUACAUUACCUAGCGGCGGACGGGUGAGUAAUGCUUAGGAAUCUGCCUAUUAGUGGGGGACAACAUUUCGAAAGGAAUGCUAAUACCGCAUACGCCCUACGGGGGAAAGCAGGGGAUCUUCGGACCUUGCGCUAAUAGAUGAGCCUAAGUCGGAUUAGCUAGUUGGUGGGGUAAAGGCCUACCAAGGCGACGAUCUGUAGCGGGUCUGAGAGGAUGAUCCGCCACACUGGGACUGAGACACGGCCCAGACUCCUACGGGAGGCAGCAGUGGGGAAUAUUGGACAAUGGGGGGAACCCUGAUCCAGCCAUGCCGCGUGUGUGAAGAAGGCCUUUUGGUUGUAAAGCACUUUAAGCGAGGAGGAGGCUACCUAGAUUAAUACUCUGGGAUAGUGGACGUUACUCGCAGAAUAAGCACCGGCUAACUCUGUGCCAGCAGCCGCGGUAAUACAGAGGGUGCAAGCGUUAAUCGGAUUUACUGGGCGUAAAGCGUGCGUAGGUGGCCAAUUAAGUCAAAUGUGAAAUCCCCGAGCUUAACUUGGGAAUUGCAUUCGAUACUGGUUGGCUAGAGUAUGGGAGAGGAUGGUAGAAUUCCAGGUGUAGCGGUGAAAUGCGUAGAGAUCUGGAGGAAUACCGAUGGCGAAAGGCAGCCAUCUGGGCCUAAUACUGACACUGAGGUACGAAAGCAUGGGG